GUAAGGAUUAAUAUGUGGUGAGUCUCACUCCCUUCCACAAGCUGGCACUUGGAAGGUUUAUAAGACAUCCAUGAACACUGGGUGAUUGUGGUUCCUGGUAUCGAUUUUUUCUGUAAGUAACAUAUAUUGUUUUUUUCUAUAUUUAUAGUAUUUGCUGUUUGCACAAGGAGUAUUCUUGUCCUUUGUUUUUGAAUUGUUUGGAUCUUUUUUUUUAUCUAGCACACUGCAACCUAGUUUAUGUGGUCCCUGAUUUUUGAGAUUAGGGUACUGUACACUAAACAGUGCAUUUGAAGUGUACUAGAUUACCUAGUAGUAGCAGGUUGUAUUGACUCAAUAAAGGGGUUUGUGUUAUAGUAGACUAUUUAUUGAGGCUUUUGCUACAAUGUGUUUUACUAUUAUAUACAGACUACAUUCCAUUUAUGCUAAUUGUAUACCCUAUUACACUAUUGUAUCCUUUUGUGAUUUUAUGCUAUUACCCUUGUCAUUAGUGCUUUAUAAUUGAACAUCUUGUGUUUUUUUUUUUAUAGAUGCUAUAUUUGCUAAAUUGAAAAAAAAAAUAUGUAUCUAUUAUAAUUAAUAACUCAUUUGCUUCAUUUGGAUGUUUUAUCUUUAUUCUCUCUUUUUAUAAUUUUUUGCACUUUUGAAAUUUAGCAAUUUACCUGAUAUUUUACCAGGAUUUCUGUUCCUUGUUUUAUUACAUGCUUUUUUCCACUUUUUUUUUGUAUUUUUUAAUUCUUUUUAUUUUGCGUAAUUUUAGUUUUGUUAAUUUUGUACAUUGCCAAAUUUGGGACACUGCCUUUAGAUGUAUUCAGAAUACUUUUCCAGUGCACCAUUUAUAUUGCCUGUUUGAAAAUGUAGAUAGAUACCACACUUUUUGACUAAAUUGCAACAUGGCUAUUUUAUAAAAAAAAAAAUAUAUAUAUAUAUAUAUAUAUAUAUAUAUAUAUAUAUAUAUAUUUAAUUUGAAUACUUUACUUGUAUUUCAGAUCACACUGGUUCAGUGUGGUGCAUCAGUGCAAUAUUCCACAAAGAUGUUGUACAAUUGGUGGAUCUCUCCAAUUCCACAAAAUGAUAUUAUAUGCGACCCAUUAUUUACCCAUUUUCCCCUAAAUAAGGCCCCUGCAAUCUUUCUGCUCAACUGUCUACCAUGAGUUAGAUCACAUUUUUUAUGCAAUCCUAGCCACACUUUCACUGACUGUGACUUACAUAGCCUUCCUAUACACCUGGAAAAGAGUCUACAUGUUUUAGCUUCCCUUAUUGCACAGUGUGUUUGUUUAAUUUAGAAUUUCUUAUUGUGUGCUCUGUUAAUAUCUUGCUAGAACCUGUAACAGCUUUAACAGCUACAACAUUCAAUUACAAGAGCAGGAGAUAAUAACUUCUAAAUUAAACACACUGUUCUGCAAGCUCUGAUUGAAAUUCACUUUUUUUCUUAUAAUAGAGGCUGUUUGAGUCAAAGACAGGGGAACCAUCGAUAAGGCUGCAUAUUUUUUUUUCCAUGAAACUUGUUGUUUUGGUGCUGAAAGUAUACUAUACCUUGCAGAAAUGCUGAAGGCCGGAAGGGUAAAGUGGACGGGGUAGUGAUGCCAUCAUAUCACUGACCGUCCCCAAAUCGGGCUUAAUACAAUAUGGCAAUAUAAAAUAACUGAAACCUCAUAUUUGUUUGCUAAGAUUGGUAAUUUGAAAUAGCCUUGCAAAGUGUAAAGCAAUAUUUUUUGUGUGCACUGCUCCUUAAUCUUUAUUUUGUAUAUAUUUUGGUGUUUACGUCAUCACCACUACUGAAAAUGCAUGUUCUGGNNNNNNNNNNNNNNNNNNNNNNNNNNNNNNNNNNNNNNNNNNNNNNNNNNNNNNNNNNNNNNNNNNNNNNNNNNNNNNNNNNNNNNNNNNNNNNNNNNNNACUUCCCUGGGGACCAGUGGCUGUCUGAGGCUGUUGGGAGUUGGGCUAUCUCCCAGUCCGCGCUCCUCCUCUCUUCCUCCCUCCCUCUGUGUUAGCUAGGAAGACGCUGACCGGGCCCCUGCAGACUCAUUGCUAUCGUGCGGCCCGCAUGCACCAUGGCGGACGGAGGGCUCAAGGGACAGCUCAUUUGGACCCCAUGGGAAUGACUGGACCCGGGGCAGCUGCCCCUUUUGCCCGGCGUUAGAGACAGCCCUGCUCAGUACUGUGUGUUAUAUAAUCUCUGUAUUGUAGCUUACUAUGAUUAUUGUAUUAUACUUAGCUUUGAGUAUGGUAUGAGUUAUUCUGUACUUCAUCUCCCUGUAUUAUAUGGGAACAACCAUAAGAGGUACAUGAUAUUAAGAAGACAGAGACCACCAGAUCAGAAGAUGACUGUUACAGAGUCAAAUUCCAAAGGUUAUGUCUAGCUCCUAAUGAUCUAAAAACUUUACCAGCUGCCACUAUGUAUAUCCUUGAAGGGUAAAAAUAGCUAAAUAGUGCUAUGGUGAGACUGCAGAGAGGCAAGGCUGGGAAAACUUUUUUUUAAAUCCCUGUUUAAUGGAAAAUGGGGGGAAGGAGGGGGUGGGGGGAGGAUCUCAUUAUAUCAUAGCCUCUACCAUUGCCUCAACAUUGAACUGUACUGGUUAUGGGGCUUCAAGCGCCAAUUGGUUUAAUAUGCUAUGAUUUAGCCAAAAUUAAAUUUUGAAUGAAAGAACCAGUAAUACAUAUUAUAACAUUAUUUGAGUGGGAAACCUGGUAUGUUUAACCUGGAGGUCCCCUAUCUCCUGUGUCUCCCUUUGGGCCCGGUACUCCUGGAACACCAAUAGGUCCUGUAAGUCCAUCUCUUCCUUGGGGUCCCUGUUUUCCUGGUGGACCCUGUGGGCCUGAAAUUUGACAAAUGGAACAAAAAAACACUUGUUAGUAGUACAUAAUUAGGGGCUAUCCACAAAAGUUCAGAAUCUUUGCAUUUUUAACAACAUUUUUUGUUUUAUCAUGGUACACACAAUUUUGCAUAAACUGAAGGGCAGUAAAUCACAUCUCUGUGUCUCUUAACUAUUUUUUGAAUUUCAUACACAUUUUGUGUUUAUCACCUUUUUUGAAUGUCUUACCCCCUUUAGUGUAUCAUAUCACUCUUUUGUGUCUUACACCUAGUUUAGUAUAGCUUUUCCCCAUUUUUCCCUUUUGUAUGUCUUACACCACCCUUGUAUGUUGCUUACUACCUGCCCCUUGUGUUUCUCUUCCCUCCCCCUUUUCCCCUUUGUGUGUCUCUUACUUCCUUCCAACCCCUAUGUGUCUUUCCCCACCACCCAGCACUUUUGUGUCUUUCUCCGCCGCCCCCCACCCCAGCCACUUUGGGUGUCUUGUUUCCCCUUCUUCAGCCCCUAUGUGUGUCUCUUUUCCCCUGUUCCAAGCACUGGCAGAUCCAGAGGCUUAUCUCAGGAGGGGCACUUGUAGAUUAUUUAAUGAAACAAUCCAGGCACAAUAACCACUACAGCUCUCUGUAGUGGUUAUGGUAACAGGAGUGCCGUGGCGCCCUCCCAGAGUAAAUAGUCAAACUGUUUAAGAACAGUUUAGUAUUGUGUGUGUGUGUGUGUGUGUGUGUAUGGGGGUGAAAGGGAACACUGUGUGUAGGAGGGGCAGUGCGUGUUUGUGUGAGGGGUGGUGGGGUGCAGUGGGAGCACUGUGUGUAUGGGGCCAGUGUGUGUAUGUGAGUGCAGUUGGGAAGUGUUUGGGGGUGCUGUGUGGGGGAGCACUGUGUGUAUGGGGGUGCUGUGUGGGGAGCACUGUGUGUAUGGGGAGAAGUGUGUGGGGGGAGAAGUGUGGGGUGCAGUGGGAGAAGUGUGGGGUACAGUGUGUAUGGGGAGAAGUGUGUAUGUGUGUGUGUGUGGGGGGAGAAGUGUGUGUGUAUAUGGGGGAGGUGUGUGUGUGGGGGCAGUAUGUGUGUGGGGAGGGUGUGUGUGGGGGGUACAGUGGGGGCAGUGUGUGUAUAUGGGGGGGUACAGUGGGGGCAGUGUGUAUAUAGGGUCUGUGGGGGCAGUUAAAGGAGGGAGCAGAUUAAAACAAAUGAGUGUUUUUGUUGUUUUUUGGUUUUUUUUUUAUUAAAAAAUUUCUUUAUAUCCCCCCUCCCUUCUUACCUUUGCCUGGGAUAUUAUUUCCUAUCCCUGGUGGUCUGGUGGAAUCCCUGCUGGUUCUAAUGGGGAGUGAACUCUAGCCUGCAGCUCCUGAGGCUAGAGUUCACUCUCGCGAGAACGGAGCGUUGCCAUAGUAACCGCAAUUGCACCAUUGCUCCCCCCUGGAUCCGCCACUGGUUCCAAGCCCCUUUGUAUGUCUCUUUACCUCCAGCUCCUUUUGUGUGUUUCUUUCUCCACAAAUCCUCUUUUGUGUGUUUAUUUCCCAUUCCCUUUAUGUAUCUCUUUAUUUCUUUCCCAGCCCUCCUAUGUGUCUUUUCCNNNNNNNNNNNNNNNNNNNNNNNNNNNNNNNNNNNNNNNNNNNNNNNNNNNNNNNNNNNNNNNNNNNNNNNNNNNNNNNNNNNNNNNNNNNNNNNNNNNNGUGUGCCCCCCAAUUCCAUUUUCUUAAAUAAAAAAAAACCCUGGACCAUCAUUGUUCUAAAUACCGUUUUGUUGGCAGAAAGCAAUGAUGUUUUACUCUUCCCUGGGAACUAAUACAUACCAGCAUGGAAUUAACCUUAACAUGACAUUUCUUAAAUGAAAAAUAUAUCUAAAAGCGACACUCUCAUGCCGAACUUACCUUUCUUUAAUCAAUUCCUGUUCUCUCCUUCUCUCAGGAUCUGUUCUUCUUUUCUUCUUGUCUGCUCUAGUUUUCUUUAAAACAUAAGAUAAAGUAGUGACUAUUUGUCUUAUUGAGGUUUCCUCCGCUGGUCAGAGCAAUUUUCCCACAAUUCUCACAUUUCCUCCAUGUUCUUGCCAUGCCUCCUUUCACUUUUCCUGAACAUCUUGUCAUUUAGACAGAACGCCAGCAAAACUACCAAAUUGCUCCCUAACAGAAUAAGAACAGUUUUACCAUUUAUGUUAGGACGCAAUUCGGGACUUUGUUCAGAUUGGAAUUUCAUUCAAGUUAAUGAAACUCCGAUCCUAUUCGUGCCGAGGCUGCAUCUUGCAGCUGCUUAGUAGAUAACUCCCUAAUUCACACGGUAUUAGAGAGCUAUCUACCAAAAGGCUGAAAGACCUAAAUUGGUCUUUCAGACAAAUUUACUAAUACAAAGUAAAGAUUAGUUAGUAUUAGUAAAUUCUGCCCCUAUUUGCUAUACCGCAAGUAGAGGCAUGUCUACUAAACAGUGACCAGCCAGUGGUGGGUGGGGGCCCUACAUAAUAAUGAGGGGGGGGACCUAAAUAACAAUGAGGGGGAACCUACUGUCCUCCCCCCCAGCCCCUACCCCUGAGUGGCAGGUGGGGAUUCUAAAUAACAAUAGGGGAGGGGGGGACCUAUUGUCCUUCUCCUCCCACCCCCACCCCUGAGCGGCGGGUGGGGGCCCUAAAUAAUAAUAAUAGGGGGACCUAUUGUCCUCCCCCCGGCACCCACCUCUGAGCGGUAGGUGAGAUUUUUGUGUAAAAUGACACACUCAAAGAACUUGAAUGCCUUGGACAUAUGAGAGAGAGAGAGAGUUAUUUAUCAUUUAUGGAUUUACUGUAAAUCUUUAAUAUUUUUUUAAUAAAACAGGUUUAGUGAAUUGCAGCGCAAAUAGUUCUUCCCUGCAGUGAAAGGUUAAUCAUUAAUAAUUGCUCUAUGAUCCCUUGAAAGUUUGUGAGCCAUAACCAAAGCUGGUUGAGAAACAUAAGAACUAUUUGUCAAUACCUAAAUACCUAUUUGUAAGAUUUAUAUAAAACAAUUGUGUGCCAUUGGGGUAGUCAUAUCCUAUUUGGAUGUUCUCAAUUCUGCUACGUUUCUGGAAUCAUUGAAACAAAUUUUAGCUCAUGAUGAUAACAUAAACCUCACUAACUUAAAGUUACCGUAUUUCCUUUAUUUUAAAGCCUGAGCAACAUCAUGUUUGAAAUGUCUCUCCUCCUGCUGAUAGCCAUUUCCCUGGCUUGUAAAGCUCAGCAAACUGAUAAGUGUUUGGGGAUUCAAGUUCUUCCAGUCACUUCAUGUUUGAAUUUGGUUCCAUGCAGAGAUGGAAUAAAUAGUAUGAAAGGAGAUACUGGACUACCAGG
rnacentral:lncRNA from 1 species